rnacentral:rRNA from 1 species
UACGUAGGUGGCAAGCGUUGUCCGGAUUUACUGGGUGUAAAGGGCGCGUAGGCGGGAUAGCAAGUCAGGAGUGAAAUCUAUGGGCUUAACCCAUAAACUGCUUUUGAAACUGUUAUUCUUGAGUAUCGGAGAGGCAGGCGGAAUUCCUAGUGUAGCGGUGAAAUGCGUAGAUAUUAGGAGGAACACCAGUGGCGAAGGCGGCCUGCUGGACGACAACUGACGCUGAGGCGCGAAAGCGUGGGGAGCAA